GUCAAGAGGUGAGAGCACUUGCGUCCUGCACCCAUGGUCCCAGGUUCGAAUCCCAUCAUC
rnacentral:tRNA from 1 species